rnacentral:tRNA from 1 species
UCCCUGAUGGUCCAGUGGUUAAGACUGCUCACUUCCAAUGCAGGGGGCUCAGGUUUGAUUCCUGACCAGGGAA